AUUAUUGGUUUUCAUGUUUUCUACGAUGCCACCUCAAGUGUUACUCAUUCAAAACAUACUUGUGCCCUUCCUUGGAAAAGAAAUUUUGGAUUAACAACCAAUGCAACAGAUGAGACCGGAAGAUUUUUCGACGGAUUGAGAAAUAUAAUCACUGGUUUUUUAUAUAGUCAUGAAGAAGAUGAAAGUUUGAAAAUUCAUCUUGACAAAUGUUCCAAAGAUAUCAACUGCAAACUUUCUACUGUCCUAGACAAAAACGAAAAAGGUGUCAUGUUUCUU